rnacentral:rRNA from 1 species
UACGAAGGGUGCAAACGUUGCUCGGAAUUAUUGGGCGUAAAGCGCACGUAGGCGGCAUUGCAAGUCGGAUGUGAAAUCUUAUGGCUUAACCAUAAAAGUGCAUCCGAAACUGCAGUGCUUGAGUACUUAAGAGGAUCGCGGAAUUCCCGGUGUAGAGGUGAAAUUCGUAGAUAUCAGGAGGAACACCGGUGGCGAAGGCGGCUUUCUGGGCCUUACCUGACGCUGAGGAGCGAAAGCUGGGGAGCGAACAGG